rnacentral:rRNA from 1 species
GACAGAGGUGCCGAGCGUUAGGCGGAAUCACUGGGCUUAAAGCGUGUGUAGGCGGGUCCGUAAGUACCUUGUUAAAUCCCACGGCUCAACCGUGGAACUGCUUGGUAUACUGCGGGUCUUGAGCCACCUAGGGGCAAGCGGAACAAACGGUGGAGCGGUGAAAUGCGUAGAUAUCGUUUGGAACGCCAAUGGUGAAAACAGCUUGCUGGGGGUGUGCUGACGCUGAGACACGAAAGCCAGGGGAGCAAACGGG